rnacentral:tRNA from 1 species
GGUAAAAUGGCUGAAAAUUAGGCGAUAAACUGUAAAUUUAUUUAUAAGAAUAAUUCUUUUUUACCA